rnacentral:rRNA from 1 species
GAUUCCCUUAGUAACGGCGAGUGAAGAGGGAAGAGCCCAGCACCGAAGCCUGUGGCAGUUUUGCUGCUAGGCAAUGUGGUGUGUGGGUCGGCUCGCGGGAUCGUCACUCCACUCGAAGUCCAGCAUUGAGUAUGGUUGUUUGGAUUUGGCCCAUAGAGGGUGAGAGGCCCGUACGGGUGGAGGUUCAGACAUGUGCGACGAUUCACCAGGCCGGCCUCAGAGUCGGGUUGUUUGAGAUUGCAGCCCAAAGAGGGUGGUAAACUCCAUCCAAGGCUAAAUACUUGCACGAGUCCGAUAGCGAACAAGUACCGUGAGGGAAAGUUGAAAAGUACUCUGAAGAGAGAGUAAACAGUACGUGAAGCCGCAUGCAGGUAAACGGGUGGCGUCAAGCUGCGAGCCCGGGGAAUUCAGCUGACUGGGAUGUAGUGAACGUGCCUGGUGCGUCCAGUGGCCGGAGUAAGGUGUGGUGGUCCACUCCUACGCUAGGAGUGGGGCGGUGGGGCGUGUAAGCGUCUCGCUGCUAUGCGUGCCGGUUGUGUACGGUGCAUGCCAUCCAUCCGAGGGCCGACCAGUCAGUGCACUUUCCUCGUGGCGAACACCACGACCGGUGGAAUUGCCAGUCUGCUGUGGUCAAGUCGUGCUUACCUGGUGUCUCCCGCGUCUUCGGGCGUGGUGAGCCUAGGCGAGUGCGAUCGCGGGUGAGUGUCGUGGACGGCACAGUGGUGUUUCGGCAUUGCUGUGUGUUAUCGUACACGCCUUGCCUUAACGCUCUGCUUGGUGUGUUGUAACCGCAUCGAGUUAGGCGGCAGGCCAUGGUGGUGAAAGUAACUGUGCAAGGCAUCGGAGUUGGCCACUUCUCUCUAUAGUACUCGGCACGCGCGUUACAAGCGUUCCUCCUGGGGUGUGCGCCCGUCUGCGUGAGUUGGACUUGGCUGUCGUGUCGCCUGCGCAAAGCGGGUCCGGCAGUGGUCUUCAGCUUGCUGUGGGCAGGUUAGCGCAUCUCGGGUGCCUGUGGUACUGGGAGUGGAAUAGUCUGUGGUGCUGUGGUAGACGAGCUACCCGACCCGUCUUGAAACACGGACCAAGGAGUUUAACAUGUGUGCGAGUCAAAGGGUCCUACGAAACCCCUAGGCGCAGUGAAAGUAAAGCUCACGCCGUACUCUAUUACACAUACGCAGUGCGGUGUGACGAGGUGAGAUCCUGCUGUUGAUCGCAAGUCAGGUUAUUACCAGGCCUAAAGGGCAGCAGGCGCAUCACCGGCCCGUCCCAUGAUGUGGUCUUUGGCUUAGCGUGCUAGUGGGCGUCGCCUCCUCCGGGGGGUGUGCGUGUGCUGGCGUGCGGCUUCUGCGUCAUCGGGGCGGAGCAAGAGCACACACGUUGAGACCCGAAAGAUGGUGAACUAUGCUUGCGUAGGUUGAAGCCAGAGGAAACUCUGGUGGAGGACCGUAGCGAUUCUGACGUGCAAAUCGAUCGUCAAACGCGAGUAUAGGGGCGAAAGACUAAUCGA